GAUCAUGGCUCAGGAUGAACGCUAGCUACAGGCUUAACACAUGCAAGUCGAGGGGCAGCAUGGUCUAGCAAUAGACUGAUGGCGACCGGCGCACGGGUGAGUAACACGUAUCCAACCUACCGGCUAUUCCGGGAUAGCCUUUCGAAAGAAAGAUUAAUACCGGAUAGUAUAGCGAGAAGGCAUCUUCUUGCUAUUAAAGAAUUUCGAUAACCGAUGGGGAUGCGUUCCAUUAGUUUG
rnacentral:rRNA from 1 species